CUUGUAAAAUGUGAUAUAGCAAAAUGGCAAUUAAACACAUAUGUUGAAAGCUAAAUUAAUUAAUUAAAUGAAACACAAAUUAAUAUCAGUUUUAGAUGGCAGAUGCGGUGACACGAAAACUAUUAUUAUUAUUAUUUUUAGGCUAUAAUUAUUAUUACAGCAAUGAUACCGGUAACAAUUGCAAUUAUUGGUAGGCCAAUUAUUGCUGUUUUAAUAUUAUGACUAUUAUUAUUUUUGUUGCGGUUGACAAAACACUAACUGUUGUUAUUGAACAGGGGAAGGAGAGGAUUGCUUUCAAAUGGGCGCAUUUCAAUUGACAGAUAUACCUUCUCUGAUAGUAGGAUCUCAUCCUCAUAUGUCUACAAAUGUACUUCCAUUAACACACAGAGAGAAAGACAGGGAGGGAGGGGGAGAAAAGGGGGAAAGAGUGUGAUGUGACAUGACCUCUACAGAGAGAGAGAGAGAGAGAGAGAGAGAGAGAGAGGGAGAAAGAGAGAGAGACUAGAUGGUUGUAGAUAUGCAGUUUUUGUUCCUAAAACUGUGAAGUUUACGUUUUCAUAUGGCCUUAAUUGCCCUUCACGCUUCCAUAUAUAAACCGUUACUUUUGUAGAUCAGCCGGGUUAGGCCUAUAGAGUCAUGUCUGGACAACGAAAGUUGUAAAGAAAUACAACUAGUGGGCCAACAUUCUAUGUGAUGUUUUGUGAGUUGAAAAGUAAGCUACUAAAAUCUUUGUCCUAUCCUUUUUCACAUUCUCUGGAUAAAUAUAGGCCCUAUGUCUAUGAAGAAUCAAUGAUAGAGUUACAAAAAGCAUUUUCUUUAUCUGUGCUGGUGCACUUCUUGGGGAAAAUGCUCUCCUCAAGACAGAAUCUCAAGCAUAGGGGCACGGGAAGCCACUAUACGCAAUAGCGCACCUACAUCGAUUAGGACGAGACUCGAGGAUGACGCUGACUCGCCACACUAAAUAGUUACUGAUCACACACAAAUUGCAGGAUCUUUAACGAUUUGUCAUGCUCAUAGCACGGAAAAGCGGUAAAUCACUUUAUUAUUGUUUGUAAAACAAUGCGCGCACAGAUGAGCGCAGUUCGAUAGAGAGUGAAUGGCCGAGUCAGUGGUUGAGAUUCAUGGUCGUCCUUUAAAAAACCUUUCACUCGUGUUACAACUAACAAAUGAAAAACAGUACACCUUUUGUUCAACUAAAAUCAUGUGGAGUCAAUGAAUUGACGGACAUUUUGAAAAAUGUGUUGCCUACAGCCCUACUUGUUGACGGAGCUGCACUCAAACACAACAGUAUAUGCAUUACCUCCCAACUUAACUAUAUUUUAUAGAAAAGGGGAAUCUAUUCUGAAUAAUAAUGUAGGCUUUAAGGAGUCGGCAAUACUGGAAUAGUGGGAUCAGGCGGGGGCAGGUUAGCCUCCGUGCAUUGGGGAGAGGCAGCAAGACAAGGAUGAAAGUUCACUUUAAUCUUAUCUUUGCCUUCAGCAAGUCCUUCAGAGGGAUACUGACCUGAAGGUCUCUUAGAUCCCAGCCUGAUUAACCCCUCCAGACCCGACUGGGUGCAAAGGUUAACCCGGCUAAUCAAGUUGAAGAGGCUGAUUGAAUUAGAUGACAAGGAGUCAAGGGGGAAACAACUGUCCUCCCCCAAAAAAGUCAGAGGCCAACCACUGGCAACACUUUAGUCUGUGUGAAUCUCACUCUAUAACCUAUAGGCCUAUCAGGAAUCCCAAAAUGGGAAUAAUCAAAUGUCUAGUUGAAUCUACACAACAAUUAUGCUAGUGUUGAAGUAUUUACUUGUAAGUUAUUAAUAGUAUAGUCAUAGCUCUGUAUUACAGAAACAAGUCAUAUUUUUUUGUAGAUAGUGGAGUUAUGUUCUCUUCACCUAAUUUCUGAGCAUACUAGCUCCUAGUGUCAUUUUUAAUGAAAAUAGGCAAGUCAGUUAUGAACAAAUUCAUAUUUACAAUGUAUUGGUGUACAAUACAAUCCCAAUUGUACACCGCCCUAUGUUGCCGGUUGUGAUACAGCCUGGAUUUGAACCAGGGUAUCUGCUGUGAUGCCUCUAGCACUGAAAUGUAGUGCCUUAGACCACUGCACCACUCGGGAGCCCUGUGUUCUAAUGUAAUUUGUCCUGGGAUAUAACUUGUAUUUUUCCCUCGGCCCUCAUUUCCUUCCAACAGAAUUGACAUUGAUUCAAUGGCUCUCUUCAGUGAAGCAGUUUGACAGGUGGACAGACAGCCCUCACAAAUGAGCUCUAAUAAUCUGUGACAGGAUAGGAGCUCUAGUGGCCCUGCCCUUUAUUGGUCUUUCUUCUUGAGUGGCAUGUCAACUGUCCUUAAAAACAAACAUGUACAUUUCUCAACUUUCUCUUAAAAACAUAGUCAUGCAGUGUCACAUAUGAUUCAAAUUCCACUAUGAUAAAGUUUAUAAUGGACCAUUCAAGUGGGGACGUUAAGGUCAAAUUCAUGCUUCUCAGACUCAUUUUCAGACUAUUAACUUUGUAGAUAAAUUAGUACAUGAAAACAUGAAACAUGAAGUCCUGAUGCUUUUGUUAUACGCAGAGUGCAGCAUGAGAGCACAUUGUUCUGUGAAGAACGGCUCUGCCUCCGUCUCCAUAAUUCCCAAAGCAGCAGAGUUGUCUUAAUGCUGAAGGUAAUGUUGUUGAACAAAUUACAACAUAUUUGGGCAUCAAGCCAGACUUCUUUGCGGAUAAAAACAUGAUUUUAUUUAAUUUGGUUGUAACUGUAUUAUAGGCUUUUGAAUAGUUACAAAGAUUAGAGGAAUUACUUUCAGGGAUUCUUAGUGUGACUUUUACAUAUAUACUGUAGAACUUGAUGCUACUGUAUUACUUUAAGGUAAACUUAGUCAAUAGUAUCAAACUAUUAUAAUCUAUACAAAUAAGGUUGUAGUGUCUCAUAAUGCUAUGUGACUUAAAUUAUUAAUUGAAAUGUUGCACUUAUUUAUUAUGCAUACGUGAGAUACACAAUCUACUUGCAGUGUCAUUAUAUUUGUCCGGGUAUCUACCAUUUGUAAAUGUUUUUCUAAGCAUGAUUACACAUUAUCAUUUUGAUUACAUUGAUUAUGAACAUGAGCACUUUGUUAAGGCAUCUUGUGUGUGUAGCAAUGUCAUAUCUACACCAACAUCUUAAACAUGACUGAUCUUAUGAAUUCAGCAUUAAAGCAAUGUUUACUGCACCUCAUAAAUAGUUUGUUCUUGAAUAUUAAUUGUUUAAUAGUCAGCAGAUUAUUUGUCCAUCUUUAAUAAAACAAACCAGAUUAAAGUAUAAUCUUCUGUUGCUUUUAGGUGAAAGAGGAGAUUGUGGGUAAAACGCAUGCCUAAAUGGCAAAGAACUGGGCAAAAUGAAAGUUGACAGAUCUGCUCCUGGCUUUCCUGAGAGUCAGACUGCUGAGACAUGAAGAAGACCAUCCUGCUGACUCAGGAUCCACCUCAACACAGAGGUCCCUCUUUGGCCUUCAGCUCAUCAAUUCAAUUAAUAUGUUCAUUUCAAUAAAGCCAAAAUGGAAAAUUAUCCAUUUAAAAGUAAGGCACUUUCCAUUGAAACAAGGGAAACCCCACAUUUGUGUGGUUGAGCCAUGAAUCAUCAUAUGGCAUGUGUGGCGAUUGCAUUUAGAGAGUGAUCAGAGACAGUACCAAAGACUGGAAACAUCCCAUACUCGGCACUAGAUUUAAUGAGUGCUGAGUUGUAGUAUUUACAACAGUGCCAAAAAGGCUCAGCUAUGUUCAGGAAGCAUGUGAAGUGUCUGCAAUAAAAAACAUUGUCAAACAAGAUUUGGGAACAAUUACAUAGACAGAUAGUGUAAUGUUUAUAUGAUCCCUCCAAACCAGAGCAGCUGCAGUAACCAGACCAGCAACAUAACCAUGCCCCAUGUGACUAGGUCUUUCAUCUAGUUGAGAGGCCAGUAGUUUGUUAAUUUUACAUCAGUUCUCACAAUUUAUCAUGCCUACACUGUGAAACAUUUCAACAAUUGUACUUACCUUGUGGCCAAACGUCUUGAACUUCAGAUGAACAAUUUGACAUUGCUUGUCGUUGACUAGGGUAAUCACUAGCUACCAUGCAGGCAGCUUUGGCUAUUAUGUGUCAUUGCUAUUUUAGAAGUAACCACUGUAAGUUUCUCAUUGCUAGGUAUUUGAACUAACAUUAACGAUAGUUUGUGACAUCCAACCUUUAUGGGUGUGAUGUGAUAUACUAAAUACAUUGGACAUGAAUGCGUAUAAUUUUGUAUCCGGAACAAAACAUUAUUGUGAUGGUAUCAGCUGUGCAUGCCAGAGAACUUUCCACAACACAGUUGUUGGCAAAAAUGUGGGUUUUACACGUCAUAAUUAUCACCUAUAACAGUUGAAGUAGCAGAAAUGUGGACAAAUCUAGGAUGAAGUUGAAUAUCAAAAUAAUUUACUGUACCAGGCAUUGGAAAGGUAAUAUAUUGUAAGUAACUAAAGGUAUGUAAAGGUAAAGCUACAAAAUAACAAUAUUUUAAACUGUCUAGCCACCCUUGAAACUCCCACACAUCUUGUUCGAAAUGGCAGCUCUAUCAAGAUAAUCAUCUGAAUGAAUCUGUUACACCACGACCUAUCAGGCUUGUAAUUAUUCAUUGAGACCCUUCAGGCUAAACCAAAGUAGUGAAUGACCAGGAAGUCACCUUAUUGUCUAUACAACUCAUCAUAUCAGGUCAUAUACUGGCUAAUGCUUCAGGUCAUAUGCUUUUCUUGUUGUAACAUUUGUUAACGUUAGCACCGCUGAGCACAUGAGUAGCAGCAGAUUGCAUAGCUUUUGUCCAAACCAUUUCCUUAUUGUGCAAGAAAUAAUCCUUUAUUCAAUUUAUGUCUGAGGAGGCUUUUUAAAACAUAUUUUCACAAGAUCAGUAGACUGUUCAAGAGUGUUAACUAAUACGGCCACUUGGCCCUCUAUGGUCUAGAUUUUCCUUCACGGAUGAAACAUUAGCAGAGCUCACUGCUGAGAAGGGUGUGGCUGUGGCUAUAUCCCUGGGAGAAGGGCACAGCUCCUGACAGAAAGGUAAUGCUGUUGAUACCCUCAUGUCUAGGUCUCAGCACUACCAGACCAUGGACCGCUUGCUCCCCAUUUAUCCCUCUGUCAAUCAUGUAAAAUCAAACUGAAACUGCUGUGAGAAAUGUCUCAAUAUAUUUAAUCCCUGACUGAAAUUACAAGUCAGGUUGGUUUCUCUAAUGAAAUCUUACUCUACAUAAUGAACACAGUGGAAGUCAGCAUUCUCACCAUAGGUAAACAUCCCAAUGACCUUAUUAUACAUUUUGACUUUGUCAGCUUCCUUUUUUAAUGAACUUAGUGUCAAUGACUAAUGUAAACUAAGGGCAUGAAUAGGAAUAUCAACAGUACACAAAUAGGAUUCAUUACAGGAUUUGGGUCACACUGCUCAUAGACUUAGGGCUCUAUUCAAUCCGCAUCGCAGAAGUUCAGCUUUACAGCGUGAAUGAAAUUUAAAGGCAAUGUUCCCGCCUCAGCGGAGACUGCUUUCACAGUAAACACUGCAUCAAUCAGAAAUUACCUUUACAUUUCUAUUGCGGAAUCUGUAGUGCUUCAGCCUUACAUAUUCAAUAGAGCCCUUAGGCUGUUACUUGUUCAAAAUGUACAAAUCAGGUCACGCUUGAAAAAUGUCUUUAAACAAAGAGAAAUGCUGAACUUUGUCAAGCACCAUGUGUAGGCUACAAUACCCAUUCUGACAUAGCAGUUGUAUUCUGCAAUUGCGUAAAUUAUGUUGACCUGUAGAUGAACAAAGAGAUAUGAAAAAACUUUGUACAGAAUUCCUGUGCAAUGAGUCACCUUCUCUCAUGUAAUUGUUUCCAUAUUAGACCCCACUCACCCCUUCUUGCAAGCACAUCCCUUCCAAAGGAAUACUUGUGUUAUGAUUUGUUUACAAUCACUCUAUCCAAUUCCACCUGCUGACAAGAGGUACCUCAGGGUACAGUGUUGUUACCCUUACUAUUUGUUUACCCACAGCAGAACUCAGACACAUUCUGGAUAUGAACAAAUAGGUGUUUUCCAUAUAUACAGCUAUAGUUACAGAGUGAUCGCUAGAAAUAGACAGCAAUUUCAGAUUCUGAAAAGGUCCCGAGAACAAUUAUAUAUGCCUUCCUCUGUGCUCACCAAAAAAAAAGAAAAACGACUGCCCAGCACUAGGAAUUAACUCUUGAUGCUCAGAGCUGGAGCUUAAUUGCAGUUCACAUAGAUAACCAAAAAACACAGAUGGCGAUUUCCAGAAGUUAAAAAAAAGUUCAGAGAUCAUUGAUAUAUGCCACCUUCUGCGCUCACCCAAGAAAUUAAAAAUGAUUGCCCAGCAUUAGAAGCGAAUUUGUGAUGCUCGGAGGAGAAGCCUGCUGCUUAAACCACUGCGCUACGCAAUUCACAAAGCUCAGCAAGCCACGGGAAUACUGAGAAUACGGAUUAUACCUGAUGGUAAUAGCGCGUCAUUUUAUAUUAUUUGGUUUUAAGCCUUCCCCAAACCAUAGCCCUGACCUUAACCACUCGGUAUUAAUACCUAAACUUCACCCUUUGAGUUGUUUCUGUUUCGAUCCUGUAACGCGCAAAAAUAGAUGUUCAUACAUAUUACGUUGAAUUUAAAAGGGAAACUAGAAGAUCUUGUUGAGAGUUAGGUCUGUAUCUGGAGGGGAUAAUCUUAUUUGUGGUCUCACUGAGUCAUUCCUCUUUGUUGUAAUGACUAAGGUGUUGGAUUGACAAUCUCAGAGACCCAGGUUCAAGUCCCAGUAGGGCUACCACUGAAUUAGCUAUAUUGUUGUCAGAAGUGGGUUGGCACUGCUGGGAGAGCCAUUGGUACGGGAGCAAGAAACUUGUGCAAAUUAAGCACAGGAAAGCACUUUCUGAAGGAAAGGCGUAGUGUAACAACCUUAGUACAACACCUACUGACUUUGUUAAUUGUUGUACAAGAUCUACCAACUUCGUCGGUUGUUGUACAAUACAACACCUACCAACUUCGCCAAUUGUUGUUUGACAAUAUUUUCCACAUAAUUGUAGAAACCACUCAGCACCUAGGAACAGGACAGCUCUUAUAAUAAAACUGUUAUGUUUUGUUUGUGAGUCCUGUAACAAAAAAAUAUUCCAGGCCUCAGCAUUACUUACACAAGGCUGUUAAAAAGGUCUUUGUCACUUUGGCACACUGCACCUACACAGUAUUUGCCAGCAGCACCACCAUCAUCAUAGGAUCUACUUUCUUUCUUUCUUUCUUUCUUUCUUUCUUUCUUUCUUUCUUUCUUUCUUUCUUUCUUUCUUUCUUUCUUUCUGUUUCUUCAAGUUUGCAUUGUUCAUUGACUGUGCUGGUCAUGAGCUUGUGUCAGCCAAUGCAGGACAAAGCCCCCAUAAACUAUAACACCACUUCCUGUAUGGCUCAAGGUGAAACAGUAGCAUAAACUAUCAGACACUUCAUUAUAAUAUCGGUUUACAUAUCCAGGACACUAAAAAGUAGGGGCCAUUUCAUCAAGCUAAUUGCCUGUUUGUAAGAGGGAGCAAACUUUUUCACCAUCAGUCUAUUAUGGAGCCUGUUUCUUAAUCACAAAUAGAGCCUUUGUAUCCCAGAGGGACUUGCAUUCUAAUGUAUAAUUGAACCAAAGACCAAAGCUAUCAAUCUUUCACAGACACUUUAGUUAUUUUUCUCCUCCUUGGUAUAAUUGUGGUGACAUACAGUAACAACAAACACUGUGAAAAGGCUGCUUCC